GUGGGGAAUAUUGGACAAUAGGCGAAAGCCUGAUCCAGCCAUGCCGCGUGUGUGAAGAAGGUCUUCGGAUUGUAAAGCACUUUAAGUUGGGAGGAAGGGCAGUAAGUUAAUACCUUGCUGUUUUGACGUUACCGACAGAAUAAGCACCGGCUAACUUCGUGCCAGCAGCCGCGGUAAUACGAAGGGUGCAAGCGUUAAUCGGAAUUACUGGGCGUAAAGCGCGCGUAGGUGGUUUUGUAAGUUGGAGGUGAAAUCCCCGGGCUCAACCUGGGAACUGCCUCCAAAACUGCAUGACUAGAGUACGGUAGAGGGUAGUGGAAUUUCCUGUGUAGCGGUGAAAUGCGUAGAUAUAGGAAGGAACACCAGUGGCGAAGGCGACUACCUGGACUGAUACUGACACUGAGGUGCGAAAGCGUGGGGAGCAAACAGGAUUAGAAACCCUAGUAGUCC
rnacentral:rRNA from 1 species